rnacentral:sRNA from 1 species
AAUCACCAGGUUCCAGUUGACUCUUGUCCAUCCUGACUCUCAAUCUCAAAGUCAUAGCCUUCCUUAGAAUGAUGGCUUUCUGCCAUAAAGAAUAAUCAAAAGAAUGUAAUGUAUGAUUUGAAGAGGCCUCUUAAAAUAACUGAUUUUGUUGCACUUUAGGUUUACCUUCUCUUUACCUGAGAUGUUUGCCUGUACUUUUCCUUAGGUACCAAAAACUGUGGAAGAGUUAUGUGAAACUUCGCCACCUCCUAGCAAAUAGUCCCAAAGUCAAACAAACUGACAAACAGAAGCUGGCACAGAGGGAGGAAGCCCUCCAAAAAAUACGGCAGAAGAAUACAAUGAGACGAGAAGUAACAGUGGAGCUAAGUAGCCAAGGAUUCUGGAAAACUGGCAUCCGUUCUGAUGUCUGUCAGCAUGCAAUGAUGCUACCUGUUCUGACCCAUCAUAUCCGCUACCACCAAUGUCUAAUGCAUUUGGACAAGUUGAUAGGAUAUACUUUCCAAGAUCGUUGUCUGUUGCAGCUGGCCAUGACUCAUCCAAGUCAUCAUUUAAAUUUUGGAAUGAAUCCUGAU